rnacentral:rRNA from 1 species
GAAGAACGCUGGCGGCGUGCCUAAUACAUGCAAGUCGAGCGAACAGAUAAGGAGCUUGCUCCUUUGACGUUAGCGGCGGACGGGUGAGUAACACGUGGGUAACCUACCUAUAAGACUGGGAUAACUUCGGGAAACCGGAGCUAAUACCGGAUAAUAUUUCGAACCGCAUGGUUCGAUAGUGAAAGAUGGUUUUGCUAUCACUUAUAGAUGGACCCGCGCCGUAUUAGCUAGUUGGUAAGGUAACGGCUUACCAAGGCGACGAUACGUAGCCGACCUGAGAGGGUGAUCGGCCACACUGGAACUGAGACACGGUCCAGACUCCUACGGGAGGCAGCAGUAGGGAAUCUUCCGCAAUGGGCGAAAGCCUGACGGAGCAACGCCGCGUGAGUGAUGAAGGUCUUCGGAUCGUAAAACUCUGUUAUUAGGGAAGAACAUACGUGUAAGUAACUGUGCACGUCUUGACGGUACCUAAUCAGAAAGCCACGGCUAACUACGUG